GACGAACGCUGGCGGCGUGCUUAACACAUGCAAGUCGAACGAAAAGAGGGAAAGAGCUUGCUCUUUCCGGUAGUGAGUGGCAAACGGGUGAGGAACACGUAAACAACCUGCCUUCAGGAUGGGGACAAGAGACGGAAAUGACUGCUAUUACCGAAACAGUCCCAAGAGCAGCACAGCCCAUGGUAGAAAAUGUGGCCUCUAACUGAAAGCUAUCGCCUGUAGCGGGGUUUGCGGCUGAUUAGCCGGUUGGAGGGGGAACGGCCCACCAAGGCGACGAUCAGUAGCCAGUCUGAGAGGAUGAACGGCCACACUGGAACUGAGACACGGUCCAGACUCCUACGGGAGGCAGCAGUGGGGAAUCUUCCGCAAUGGGCGAAAGCCUGACGGAGCAACGCCGCGUGAGUGAUGACGGCCUUCGGGUUGUAAAACUCUGUGAUCCGGGACGAAAAGGCAGAGUGCGAAGAACAAACUGCAUUGACGGUACCGGAAAAGCAAGCCACGGCUAACUACGUG
rnacentral:rRNA from 1 species